rnacentral:rRNA from 1 species
GACGUAGGGCGCGAGCGUUGUCCGGAUUUAUUGGGCGUAAAGAGCUCGUAGGCGGCUUGUUGCGUCAGCUGUGAAAACCCGCAGCUCAACUGUGGGCUUGCAGCUGAUACGGGCAGGCUUGAGUUCGGUAGGGGAGACUGGAAUUCAUGGUGUAGCAGUGAAAUGCGUAGAGAUCAUGAGGAAGACCAGUGGCGAAGGCGGGUCUCUGGACAGUUCCUGACACUGAGACACGAAGGCCAGGGGAGCAAACGGG